UACGUAGGUGGCAAGCGUUAUCCGGAUUUAUUGGGCGUAAAGGGAGCGCAGACGGCAGUGCAAGUCUGGAGUGAAAGGCAGGGGCUUAACCCCUGAACUGCUUUGGAAACUGCCAUGCUAGAGUGCUGGAGAGGUAAGUGGAAUUCCUAGUGUAGCGGUGAAAUGCGUAGAUAUUAGGAGGAACACCAGUGGCGAAGGCGGCUUACUGGACAGUAACUGACGUUGAGGCUCGAAAGCGUGGGGAGCAAACAGG
rnacentral:rRNA from 1 species